rnacentral:lncRNA from 1 species
AAAAGAAUCACAAUUCUAUCAAUCUGUUUUGCCUGCUCCUCUUGACUGCCAAUGAUGGAGGGAACAUCUACACUCCUAAAGGUUCUUCCCAGAGGAGGGAGCUCCAGCCUAGUAUGACAAUCAUGGCUCCUCUCCACACCUUUACUCAUGAAUCCCCUUGAGAGGGUUAGGAGAGUCCUGAAGUGGUCUAGAACCUUUCGUGAAUGGGUGGGAUCUCAUCCAAGACACCACAUUACAUUUAGUCAUGAUGUCUCCUUACGGCUCUCUACACUGUGACAGUUUCUCAGAAUUUCCUUGUUUUUGAUGACUUUGAGAGUUUUGAAAAGCAGCAGUCAUGUAUUUUGUAGAAUGUCCUUCAAUUUGUGAUUUUCUGAUGUUAAACAAGUGUUAUGGGUUUCUGGGAGGAAGACUACAGAGUCUUCUGCAUUGAUGAUUCAGCUGCUAGAAACUUUUGAGUGGAGAUUUUUGUGUGAAGAUAAAUUUUCAGUUCAUUUGGGUAAAUACCAAGGAACACAACUGCUUGAUGAUAUGGUAAGAGUAUGUUUAGUUUUAUGCGAAAUUGUCAAACUAUAUUCCAAACUGGAUGUACCAUUGUGCAUCCCCACCAGCAAGGAAUGAGAGUUCCUAUUUCUCCACAUCUUUGCCAGCAAUUGGUAUUAUCAGGUUUUUUUAGCCAUUUAAAUGCAUAUGUAGUACUAUCUCAUUUUUAAUUUGUAUUUUCCUAAUGACAUAUGAAACUGAGCAUCAUUUCAUAUGCUUAUUAUAUGCCAUCUGUAUAUCUUUUUUGAUGAAGUGUUUGUUCCUAUGUUUUGUUCAUUUUUCACUGGGUUGGUGAUAUGGUUUGGCUGUGUCCCCACCCAAAUCUCAUCUUGAAUUGUAACUCCCACAGUUCCCACAUGUCAUGGGAGGAACCCAAUGGGAGGUGAUUGAAUUAAGGGGGUGGGUCUUUCCUGCACUGUUUUCUUGAUAGUGAAUGAGUCUCACAAGGUCUGAUGGUUUUAAAAGCGGGAGUUUCCCUGCACAAGCUCUCUAUUUUGCAUGCCACCAUCCACAUGAGAUAUGACUUGCUCAUCCUUGCCUUCUGGCAUGAUGGUGAGGCCUCCCCAGCCAUGUGGAACUGUAAGUCCAUUAAACCUCUUUUUCUUCCAAGUCUCAGGUAUGUCUUUAUCAGCAGCAUGAAAAUGGACUAAUACAGUAAAUUGGUACCAGUAGAAUGGGGUGCUGCUGUAGACACCCGAAAAUGUGGAAGCAACUUUGGAACUGGAUAACAGACAGAGGUUGGAAGAGUUUGGAGGGCUCAGAAGAAGACAGGAAAAUGUGGGAAAGUUUGGAACUCCCUAGAGACUUUUUGCAUGGCUUUGACCAAAAUGCUGAGAGCGAUACGGACAAUACAGUCUAGGCUGAGGUAGUCUCAGAUGGAAAUGAAGGGCUCGUUGGGAACUGGAGCAAAGGUGACUCUUGUUUUAGCAAAAAGAGUGGUGACAUUUUGCCUCUGCCUUAGAGAUUCGUGGAACUUGAACUUGAGAGAGAUUUAGGGUAUCUGGCAGAAGAAAUUUCUAAGCAACGAAGCAUUCAAGAGGUGACUUGGGUGCUGUUAAAGGCAUUCAGUUUUAUAAGGGAAGCAGAGCAUAAAAGAUUGGAAAAUUUACCACCUGACAAUGCAAUAGAAAAGAAAAUCCCAUUUUCUGAAAUGAAAUUCAAGCUGGCUGCAGAAAUGUGGAUAAGUAAUGAGAAGCCAAAUAUUAAUCACCAAGACAAUGGGGAAAAUGUCUACAGAGCAUGUCAGAGGUCUUCAUGGCAGCCCCUCGCAUCACAAGCCUGGAGGCCUAGGAGGUGAAUGUGGUUUUGUGGGCUGGGCCCAGGGUCCCGGUGUUGUGUGCAGUCUAGGUAUUUUGUGCCCUGCAUCCCAGCCACUCCAGCCGUGACUAAAAGGGAUGAAGGUACAGCUCAAGCUAUGGCUUCAGAGGGUGGAAGCCCCAAGCCUUGGCAGCUUCCAUGUGGUAUUGAGCCUGUGAGUGCACAGAUGUCAAGAACUGAGGUAUGAGAACCUCCCCCUAGAUUUUAGAGGAUGUAUGGUAACGCCUGGAUGCCCAGCCAGAAGUUUGCUGCAGGGGCAGGGCCAUCAUGGAGAAGCUCUGCUAGGGCAAUGCAGAAGGGAAAUGUGGGGUGGGAGCCCCCACACAGAGUCCCUACUGGGGCACUGCCUAGUGGAGCCUUGAGAAGAGGACCACCAUCCUCCAGACCCCAGAAUGGUAGAUCCACUGACAGCUUGCACCAUGUGCCAGGAAAAGCCAUAGACACUCACUGCCAACCCAUGAAAGCAGCCAGGAGGGAGGCUAUACCCUGAAAAGCCACAGGGGUGGAGCUGUCCAAGACCAUGGGAACCCACCUCUUGCAUCAGUGUGACCCGGAUGCAAGAUACGGAGUGAAAAGAGAUCAUUUUUGAGUUUUAAAAUUUGACUGCCCUGCUGGAUUUUGGACUUGCAUGGGGCCUGUAGCCCCUUUGUUUUGGCCAAUUUCUCCCAUUUGGAUCAACUGUAUUUACCCAAUGCCUGUACCCCCAUUGUAUCUAGGAAGUAACUAACUUGCUUUUGAUUUUACAGGCUCAUAGGCAGAAGGGACUUGCCUUGUCUCAGAUGAGACAUUGGACUGUGGACUUUUGAGUUAAUGCUGAAAUGACUUAAGACUUGUGGGGAUUGUUGGGAAGGCAUAAUUGGUUUUGAAAUGUGAGGACAUGAGAUUUAGAAGAGACCAGGGGUGGAAUGAUAUAGUUUGGCUGUGUCUCCACCCAAAUCUCAUCUUGAAUUGUAACUCCCACAAUUCCAUGUCAUGAGAGGAACCCAGUGGGAGGUGAUUGACUUAUGGGAGCAGUUCUUUCCUGUGCUGUUCUUGUAAUAGUGAAUGCGUCUCAAGAGAUCUGAUGGUUUUAAAAAUGGGAGUUUCCCUGAACAACCUCUCUUGUUUGCGUGCUGCCAUCCAUGUGAGAUAUGACUUGCUCAUCCUUGCCUUCCACCAUGAUUGUGAGGCCUCCCCAGCCAUGUGAAAUGUAAGUCCAUUAAACCUCUUUUUCUUCCCAGUCUUGGGUAUGUCUUUAUCAGCAGGGUGAAAACAGAGUAAUACAGUUGGGUUUUUUUUACUGUGAAAUUUAUGAAUUGUAUAUGUACUUUGGAUAAAAGUCCGUUAUGAUCUAUUUGAUUUGCAAACAAUUUUCUCCCAGCCUGUGGUUUGUCUUAUCAUUCACUUAACAUUUUAUUUCACAAAGCAAAAAUUUUUAAAAAGUCCAAUUCUACCAAUUUCUAAUUUUAUGGAUUGUGCUUUUGGUGUAUCUAAAAUUCCAUUACCAAAGCCAAGAUCACACAGAUUUUUUCCUGAUGUUUUUCAAAAAGUUUCUUACUUUUGCAUUUUAACUUUAGGCCCAUGAUCCAUUUUGAGUUAAUUUUUGAGUAAGAUGUAAGGUCUGUGUCUAUGCUCUCUCUCUCUCUCUUUUUUUUUGCAUAUGGAUGUUCAAUUUUUCCAUCAACAUUUAUUGAAAAGAGAAUUCUUUCUUCAUUGAAUUGCCUUUGUAUUUUUGUAAAAAAUCAGUUGAUUAUAUUAGUGUGGUUCUAUUUCUGAGCUCUGUAUUCCAUUUUAUUUAUCAGUGUACUUGAUUGUGAUAGCUCUAUACUUAUGCUUGAAAUCAGGUAAUGUGAGUCCUUCACUUUUUUUUUUUCCAGAGUUGGGCUGGCUGUUUUAAAUCCUCUGUUCUUCAAUAUAAAUUAUAGAAUAAAUUAGCUGAUAUCUACAAAAAAGAUUGCUGGGAUUUUGAUUAAGAUUGGAUUGAAUCUAUACAUCGAAUUACAAAUAACUGAUAUCUUUACAAUACUGAAUGUUCCAAUGCAUGCAUAUGAAAUUCAUUUAUUUAUUUUUUUUUACUUCUUUCUUCCCUGUUUUGAGGCUUUCUGUGUAUAGAUUCUGUAAAUAUUUUGUUAGAUUUAUACUUUUCUGAUGCUACUGUAAAUGUUUUUUGUUGUUGUAGUUUAAUUUCAAAGUCUAGUAGUUCGUUGAUGGCAAACAGAAAGGCAGUUUGCUUUUAUAUAUUGACCUUGUAUCCUGCAGUGUUGCAGGAUACAUGCCUAUUGGUGCCAGGAAGUUUUCUUUUCUUUUUUUUUUUUUUUUUUUUUGUAGAUUCUUAGGAAUUUUCUAUAUAGACAAUGAUGUCAUCUGUAAGUAUAGACAGUUUUAUUUCUUGCCUUCCAAUCUGUAUAAACUUUUUUUGAGACGGAGUUUCACUCUUGUCACCAGACUGGAGUGCAAUGGCGCAAUCUGGGCUCACUGAAACCUCCACCUCCUGGGUUCAAGUGACUCUCCUGCUUCAGCUUCCCGAGUAGCUGGGAUUACAGGUGUG